rnacentral:lncRNA from 1 species
GAAGUUUCAUGAAGAAUAAAUAGCUAAAAAACACCCGUCCGCUGUAUUUCCUCAUUCUCUUUAAAACAAAAUAAUAGAGAGAAAGUAUGUCUUAGAAUAAACAUGCUAACAUGCUCCAUGGUUGAUUGCACCUUUCCUAACAAAGUAUUACUGAUUUUUUUCAGCAAUUGUCCCAAUCUAGCUACUGCAACGACAAUAGCGACAUUUUGUGUGUCUCAUGUUAAAUUUA